AGUGAACGCUGGCGGUAGGCCUAACACAUGCAAGUCGAACGGCAGCACAGUAAGAGCUUGCUCUUACGGGUGGCGAGUGGCGGACGGGUGAGGAAUACAUCGGAAUCUACUUUUUCGUGGGGGAUAACGUAGGGAAACUUACGCUAAUACCGCAUACGACCUACGGGUGAAAGCAGGGGAUCUUCGGACCUUGCGCGAUUGAAUGAGCCGAUGUCGGAUUAGCUAGUUGGCGGGGUAAAGGCCCACCAAGGCGACGAUCCGUAGCUGGUCUGAGAGGAUGAUCAGCCACACUGGAACUGAGACACGGUCCAGACUCCUACGGGAGGCAGCAGUGGGGAAUAUUGGACAAUGGGCGCAAGCCUGAUCCAGCCAUACCGCGUGGGUGAAGAAGGCCUUCGGGUUGUAAAGCCCUUUUGUUGGGAAAGAAAAGCAGCAGGUUAAUACCCCGCUGUUCUGACGGUACCCAAAGAAAUAGCACCGGCUAACUUCGUG
rnacentral:rRNA from 1 species